rnacentral:rRNA from 1 species
GGAAAGGCGCGCGAUACAGGGUGACAGCCCCGUACACAAAAAUGCACAUGCUGUGAGCUCGAUGAGUAGGGCGGGACACGUGGUAUCCUGUCUGAAUAUGGGGGGACCAUCCUCCAAGGCUAAAUACUCCUGACUGACCGAUAGUGAACCAGUACCGUGAGGGAAAGGCGAAAAGAACCCCGGCGAGGGGAGUGAAAAAGAACCUGAAACCGUGUACGUACAAGCAGUGGGAGCUCGCUUAGGCGUGUGACUGCGUACCUUUUGUAUAAUGGGUCAGCGACUUAUAUUCUGUAGCAAGGUUAACCGAAUAGGGGAGCCGAAGGGAAACCGAGUCUUAACUGGGCGUUAAGUUGCAGGGUAUAGACCCGAAACCCGGUGAUCUAGCCAUGGGCAGGUUGAAGGUUGGGUAACACUAACUGGAGGACCGAACCGACUAAUGUUGAAAAAUUAGCGGAUGACUUGUGGCUGGGGGUGAAAGGCCAAUCAAACCGGGAGAUAGCUGGUUCUCCCCGAAAGCUAUUUAGGUAGCGCCUCGUGAAUUCAUCUCCGGGGGUAGAGCACUGUUUCGGCAAGGGGGUCAUCCCGACUUACCAACCCGAUGCAAACUGCGAAUACCGGAGAAUGUUAUCACGGGAGACACACGGCGGGUGCUAACGUCCGUCGUGAAGAGGGAAACAACCCAGACCGCCAGCUAAGGUCCCAAAGUCAUGGUUAAGUGGGAAACGAUGUGGGAAGGCCCAGACAGCCAGGAUGUUGGCUUAGAAGCAGCCAUCAUUUAAAGAAAGCGUAAUAGCUCACUGGUCGAGUCGGCCUGCGCGGAAGAUGUAACGGGGCUAAACCAUGCACCGAAGCUGCGGCAGCGACGCUGAUGCGUUGUUGGGUAGGGGAGCGUUCUGUAAGCCUGUGAAGGUGUGCUGUGAGGCAUGCUGGAGGUAUCAGAAGUGCGAAUGCUGACAUAAGUAACGAUAAAGCGGGUGAAAAGCCCGCUCGCCGGAAGACCAAGGGUUCCUGUCCAACGUUAAUCGGGGCAGGGUGAGUCGACCCCUAAGGCGAGGCCGAAAGGCGUAGUCGAUGGGAAACAGGUUAAUAUUCCUGUACUUGGUGUUACUGCGAAGGGGGGACGGAGAAGGCUAUGUUGGCCGGGCGACGGUUGUCCCGGUUUAAGCGUGUAGGCUGGU